GCCGUGGUUGUUCAGAGGUAGAAUUCUCGCCUUCCAUGCGGGAGACCUGGGUUCGAUUCCUGGCCAAUGCA
rnacentral:tRNA from 1 species